GGCAGCUGGGAUUACAGGGAGAAAGCUUUUAGUCUUUCACCAUUAUGUAUGAUGCCAGCUGUGAUUCUUAUAAGCUCUUACGGAUCCCUGGAAAGUAGAAGGCUGGGGAAGGAGCCAACACCAAGGAGGGCCUCAGCUCCCUUCUUCACACCACCACUCCACUCACUAUUCACAGAUUUGACGGGGCCCAUAGAACUUCUGAAAUGGUAUGAGUGAACAUAUGCUCCCUCUAAAGCAUAGAAAACCCAGCUGCUUCUGGUCUAGUACCAUACGACAUCUUAUUCAAAAGGACAGGAGUGGCUGGGCAUGGUGGCUCAUGCCUGUAAUUCCAACACUUUGGGAGGCUGAAGCAGCCAGAUCGCUGGAGGCCAG